rnacentral:lncRNA from 1 species
AUUUGCAGUCCAAUUUAAUAUGGCUGGAGGUAAAUACCACCUUUAUGAACUGCAGGUGGCCCAACCGGCUGCAUUGUGAUAGCUUCAGCUCCACAGGCUCCUUGGGGAAAGCAGAGAGAUUCUACAAGCUGCAAAGGACUGUGUAUGCUUAAGGAGACAACUGGUCAGCAAGAAGCUCUGGUUAGUAAGGAAGCUGUGCAUGUCUUACAGUGCACUUUUUUUUCAGCAAACCCUUCCCUAGACUUAGCAGCUGUCACUGAUACAGAGAUUUGGAAGUUUCCUGCACAUACAGGUGCUGCAAUUAAACUGCUCACAAAAGCCUGCUUGUCAGAUGGCAAACUGUUCCUAACGAAGGCAAAAAUGAAACAGAAGAAAAAUUUAAAGUCACAAGCUUUUCUUGGUUAUAAAAAUGCUUGUGUGUAUGUUGUCAAUUCAUCACUAUGAAGCUCAAGGAAGACACUCAAAAUUUGAAACGCCGAAAAACAGUGACCCCUCUGCUUGUUGGUAUGAGAAUAGGGAAAUAAGCAGGAAUGAAAGUCAAUGUCAUAUCAACUCUCUUAAGGUAUCAGCUUGUGUGCAUGCUCUUAUAAUGUGCAAGGAGCACACAGAAAUACUGCAGGGAAAUACCAGAAGACCAGUGGUCCUGCCGUUGGUGUUUGGCAUUACUUAAAGUUAGUAAUGGUAAUUAAACCUAUUUCUAGCUUGAAAACCAGCAAAGAAUAACUGAAACAUUACAAGUUCCUUGUUUGGAAACAGUUUAUACUUUGCAUAUGUGUCUAAUGAAGAGCUAUUUUGCAUUGAAAUACAGUGGCACAGACUUGGUUUAAGAAGAAAGUGUCACUUUUUUAAUAGUUGAUGUAUCACAAAAAAUUAUCUCUAAUGGAUAACACAUUUCUUGUAAUAUUGCUGUAUUUAUCUUGCUUUGGUAUGGGUAAAUCUCAGGAAGGUAGCAAUUCUGAGAGAAAAAAAUACAUGAACAUCAGAAAAUGAAAGCUGCAAUGUUGUGGUUUUUUUUUUUUUCCUAUGCAAAAUUGAGUAACAAGAUAUGGGUACACCAUACUUGCAAAAAAGUCUCUAAUGUGAAAAUUAAAUUAUACAUGAGUAACUCAUCCUUGUUAUAAUCACAAAACAGCAUACGUUAGAGGCAUUUCAGUUACAUUGCUACAGCUUGUCAAUGGUUCUGAGAACUCUCUUAAGAAUUUAGGGUAAGAAUAAAUAGAUAUCAUAUGAUCA